ACGCAAGUUGCGCCCGAAGCCGUCAGGCCGAGGGCACGCCUGCCUGGGCGUCG
rnacentral:rRNA from 1 species